ensembl:lncRNA
AUGCCUCGUUUACACCCUCGUUUACACCAGUGCCCCAAGUGCCAAAGAAAAACUUUCACUCUCAUGAAGUUGGUCCAACAUGUGGGACUAACUCAUGCCCAUGAGGCAGGCUUCUCGAUCACAUGUGGACUCAAUGACUGCCAAUCCACUUUUUCCAGUUACCCAUCUUUCAGAUGUCAUGUUUAUAGAAAACAUAGAGCUUGCAUUUUACCUGCUGGUGAGGAGCCUGCUAGUGAAAACCCUGCUUCUGAAGAUGAACAUGAGCGUGUUAUGUGUGAUAAUGAUGCAGAUGUCCAAACCCCCCCUUGUAUGGAUACACUUUUAUAUAACUUUAAAAAUAAUCUUUGUAGCUUCAUCCUAAAAUGCAGGGAAAAAAACAAUUUACCAGAAUCAGUUCAGCAAGAAAUUCUUAGUGAUGUUAACUUUCUAUUUUGUUUUUUUAAGGAGAAUUACGAUGAAUUUUUAUCUUAUCAUCUUAAAGAAAAUGGUUUUGAUGUCAAAGGAUGUCCUGAACUUCAGCAGGUUUUACAGUCCAAUGAUUUUUUUGAGGAAGCAUCAAAAGAGUUCUCUUCUCAGUUCAAACUGAAAGAAUACUGUAAGUCAAUGUUAGACUUGACUGAACCAGUUCAAUACACUUUAAGAGGGUCUACAGGACAUAAAAUAGGUAGCUUCUCCUAUGUUCCCAUUUCUGAUGUUUUAAAAAAAUAUUGUUCUCAUGAGGAUGUAUGGGAUGACAUAGUCUCUGUAAAUAUUGAAGAUGAACAGGUCUUAACUGACUUUUGCGAUGGAUUGUACUAUAAAGAGCAUCCUUUCUUUAGAGAAAAUCCAAAUGCAUUACGACUGCAUUUUUAUGAGGAUGAAUUUGAGGUAGUAAAUCCUUUGGGAUCAAAGAAAACAAAACACAAACUGUGCGCCUUCUACUACACUAUAGGUAAUGUACAUGGAAGGUACAGGUCUCAAGUGAAGCAUAUUCAUUUAGCAUUACUGGUGCGCUAUUCCUAUUUAAAGGAGUGUGGCUUAGAAGUUAUCCUAAAGCCACUGCUAGAUGAUCUUAAAGUGCUCUCAACAGAUGGGUUCACCCUCACUGUUGGUGGGGUUGAGCAGAAUGUCCAUGCAGCCCUAGCUACCAUUUCAGGUGAUAACCUUUCAGCUCACAUGAUUGGAGGAUACAGUAUGUCAUUUAACUCAGGAAGAGUUUGUAGACAUUGUAUGGGAACAUACACGGAUAUAAAAGAGAAAUUUCAGGAAGAUAGUUAUGUUUUAAGAACAUCUGACGUUCACCGGUAUCACCUGGAAUGUAUCCAGCAAAAUCCUGACAGUAGAGUAACAUAUGGGGUACAGUGUAGUUGUCCAUUUAAUGUGCUUCCUUAUUUUGAUGUUACGAAGUCCUUACCUCCAGACAUAAUGCAUGACAUGUUAGAGGGUGUCAUACCUUUAGUUUUGAAACUUGUCCUGUGCCAAGCUCAUAAAGAGAAACAUAUUAGCAUACAAGAGGUGAACGAAGAGCUACAGAGAAUGACAAUAGGUCAAAAUGAUAGAGCAAAUAAGCCGGUACAGUUGUCUGAAAGAUUACUACAAAAAGGAGGCAUUGUGGGCUCGGCAUCUCAGAAAUGGUGCCUUUUUAGACUUUUUCCUUUUUUGAUCGCACAUCGUAUACCUCCUGAGUGUCAAUAUUGGCAUGUGUACCUGUUGUGCCGAGAAAUUGUAGAUAUUGUUCUAGCUCCAAUGGUGAGAAGAGAGAACCUUCCUCUUUUAGAUGUACUUGUGCAAGAAUUUUUGACAGAGUUGAAAGCUGUAUUUGGAAAUGUUAUUACACCGAAGUGCCAUUAUUUAAUUCAUUAUUCUAGAUUAAUUUCAAUGUUUGGGCCUCUUCGUUCUCUCUGGUGCAUGAGGUUUGAAGGCAAACACCAAUAUUUUAAGAAUAUUGCAAGUAAUUGUCGUAAUUUCAUUAAUAUAGCUUCCACUCUGAGCAACCGUCACCAGUUAAAACAAUGCUGGGAGUUUUCUUCAAAUAAUUUCUUAGAUGAUUUUGAGAAGGUACCAAGAAGCAGUACUAGCACUCCAUUUUGUUCUUUACCACUUACUCUCCAGUGUGCUCUAGAGAAAUAUUUUACUGAUGUUUCUUUUAGUGAAGAUAAAGUUAUUCAACGUGUUUCAGAAGUAACCGUUAACAAUGUCAAGUAUGCCACACAAGAUGUUUUUGUUUUGGAUGUGUUGCAUGGUGAGAGAAUUCCUCUUUUUUUCCAAAUGAAAUACAUUUUUAAUGUGGACACUACAUGGGUUCUUUGUGGUAAGAUGAUAUUUCCAAAGUAUUUUAGCCAGCACUUUUAUGCUUAUUCAGUCAAAUUUGACCUGGAAUGGACUGUGAUACAGCCUGGGGCAGAGCUAGAUUUUAAUGCCCUUGAUAUAUAUACAGUUGAUGGCGAUAUCUUUGUGGCAAUGAAAUACUGUGUGUAA